rnacentral:lncRNA from 1 species
UGGGUGUAAGGUUAUCUAGUAUAUAGGAGACUUUUUUCUGUGUGAGACUAUUCUUAAAUUUCUCAACCAGUCCAUAUAAUUUGAUUCGAUUAAGUUAUUUGCAUCGAGUAUGCCAUGAAUGUUGGGUUUCGGUGGUACAGUGAAAGAGCUAGGGUGUUUAAAAUUUUCAUUCAAAACACUAGAUGCAAUGAAACCCUAAUAUCCAAGAACCCUUGACUAUGACAAUCAAAGCAUAAUUAAAUUAAACUUGUUUAAGAAGAAUACUUAU